rnacentral:rRNA from 1 species
UACGUAGGGUGCGAGCGUUGCCCGGAUUUAUUGGGCGUAAAGGGCGCGUAGGCGGCUCUGCACGUCCGUUGUGAAAUCGCCCGGCUCAACUGGGCGGGGUCAGCGGAUACGGCAGAGCUCGAGCAAGCUAGGGGGCAAUGGAAUUCCCGGUGUAGUGGUGGAAUGCGUAGAUAUCGGGGAGGAACACCAGUGGCGAAGGCGAGUCUCUGGACGACUCCUGACACUGAGGCACGAAAGCUAGGGGAGCAAACAGG